rnacentral:lncRNA from 1 species
GACCUUAUUGGAACACUGAGAGCAUAUUCUAGUCAAGUCCUGGUCUGAGUUGGACAAGUCUAGGGGACAAGUGUACAGUAUGCCUGGGUGGAGAAGCACUUUGGCCCUGACUUUCUAGAACAAAUUGUGUUGACCAGAGACAAGACCGUGGUCUCUGCCGACCUUCUCAUAGAUGACCGGCCAGACAUCACAGGGGCCGAGUCACACCCCAGCUGGGAGCACAUCCUCUUCACCUCCUGCCACAACUACCACCUGCAGCUGCAGCCCCCUCGCCGCAGGCUGCACUCGUGGGCAGAUGACUGGAAGGCCAUCUUGGACAGCAAACGGCCACGCUGAGGGCUGUGCUGCACCUGUCUGGUGGUCCAGUGUGGGGCUCACAGCUCAUGACUGGACAGCAAACACCCCGCUGAGGGCUGUGCUGCAGUUUCUGGUACUUCCCAGAGGACCCAGUGAACACUUCGGUCAAAACAACUUCCGACACACGUCCCUUCUCCCCCUAGCCCAGCAAGGCCUUAACCUGGUAUUGGGACAGGGCUGGAAGAAAGGCACGCACUCCAGACAAGUUGGUCUGACCUCAGGCAGAGGCUCCCCACCACUGCCUCUCACUGCGCACAAUAGGUGUGUUCUCUGAGACGUGAGAGUACCCUGGUCCAGGACCUGCAAGGCGUGGAGUGCCAGGGAUAGAUGACAGAGGUUCCCUCGGCAGGCAUGUGUCCCUCUACCUCUACUGUAGAAUCUCGUCCAGCCUACCUACUCAGUCUCUGUGGCUUGCCAAGGCCACCAGGCUCUUUUGGAGGCCAACAGUGACCCUGCCUAUGGCCAGUGCCAUGGUCUCUUGCUCUGGUGUCCCUAGAUCCCAUUCAUGGCCCAGAAAGGAGUCAGCAGGCUCGAAUAUUUGUUGACGACAUGAGAAAUAAAUGCUGUUCACAUUU